AACGAACGCUGGCGGCAUGCCUAACACAUGCAAGUCGAACGGGACCUUCGGGUCUAUGGGCGCACGGGUACGUAACACGUGGGAACCUACCCUUAAGUUCGGAAUACCUCCCCGAGAGGGGUGCUAAUGACAGAUAGUCUCUUAGGACCUAAGAUUUGGUGCCUGGGGGUGGGCUCGCGUUGGAUUAGCUUGUUGGUAGGGUAGAAGCCUACCAAGGCCACGUUGGGGAGCUGGUCUGAGAGGAUGGUCAGCCAAACUGGGACGGAAAUGAGGCACAGACUACAACGGGAGGCGGCAGUGGAGAGUGGUGCACUAUGGGCGGAAGCCUGAUGCAGCAACGCCGCGUGCGGGAUGACGUCCAUCGGGUUGUAUACCGCAUUCGCCUUUGACGAAGUGUGAAUGACGGUAAUGGGUGAAGAAGCACCGGCUAACUACGUG
rnacentral:rRNA from 1 species